AUUGAACGCUGGCGGCAGGCCUAACACAUGCAAGUCGAGCGAGCGGCGGACGGGGGAGUAAUGUGUGGGGGACUGCGCGCUAGAGGGGGGUAACUACUGGGAACGCUGUCUCAUACCGCAUACUCUAUGGUGAGCCCAUAUGGGAUUUGCUAGUAGGUGAGGUAAUGGCUCACCUAGGCGACGAUCCCUAGCUGGUCUGAGAGGAUGACCAGCCACACUGGGACUGAGACACGGCCCAGACUCCUACGGGAGGCAGCAGUGGGGAAGAUUGCACAAUGGGCGCAAGCCUGAUGCAGCCAUGCCGCGUGUAUGAAGAAGGCCCUAGGGUUGUAAAGUACUUUCAGUCGGGAGGCGUUACCGACAGAAGAAGCACCGGCUAACUCCGUGCCAGCAGCCGCGGUAAUUC
rnacentral:rRNA from 1 species